rnacentral:rRNA from 1 species
CUGUAGGAAUACUUCCAGAAGUUCUUUCGGAAAAUCGACUGAUUUUAGCAACGAAAUACUCAGGAAGAUGCCCAGGAGUUCCUCUAAAUUAGCGGCAAGUCUAGUGCCAGCAGCCGCGGUAAUUCCAGCUCCACUAAUGUUUAUUAAAAUUGUUGCGAUUGAAACGUUCGAAGUUUAUUCUUGUCCAACACGGGUGCUACUCCUAAUGGCAGUAGGUCACUGGAUUGUUGUUAAAUUGGCAGACCGUCAUAAGACUAACAUAAGCGAAACCAUUGCCAUGUAUGCUUUCAUUAAUCAAGAACGCCCUAGUGCUAACCGUAAACUAUGCCUAUUAGCAAUUGGAAGACACUACAUUAUUGUGCUCUCAGUAGCUUCCAGGAAACCAAAAUUAGGUUCCG